rnacentral:rRNA from 1 species
CCUACGGGGGGCAGCAGUGGGGAAUCUUGCGCAAUGGGCGGAAGCCUGACGCAGCGACGCCGCGUGCGGGACGAAGGCCUUCGGGUCGUAAACCGCUUUCAGCAGGGACGAGGCCCUCACGGUGUCGGUACCUGCAGAAGAAGCCCCGGCUAAAUACGUGCCAGAAGCCGCGGUAAUACGUAGGGGGCGAGUGUUAGCCGGAUUCAUUGGGCGUAAAGCGCGCGUAGGCGGACUGGUAGGUCGGGGGUAAAAUACCGGGGCUCAACCCACGUCCGCCCCCGACACCGGCAGGCUUGAGUCUGGUAGGGGAAGGCGGAAUUCCCGGUGUAGCGGUGGAAUGCGCAGAUAUUGGGAAGAACACCGGCGGCGAAGGCGGCCUUCUGGGCCACGACUGACGCUGAGGCGCGAAAGCUAGGGGAGCGAACAGGAUUAGAUACCCUUGUAGUC